rnacentral:rRNA from 1 species
UACGUAGGGCGCAAGCGUUAUCCGGAAUUAUUGGGCGUAAAGAGCUUGUAGGCGGUCUGUCGCGUCUGCUGUGAAAAUCCGGGGCUCAACCCCGGACUUGCAGUGGGUACGGGCAGACUAGAGUGUGGUAGGGGAGACUGGAAUUCCUGGUGUAGCGGUGAAAUGCGCAGAUAUCAGGAGGAACACCGAUGGCGAAGGCAGGUCUCUGGGCCACUACUGACGCUGAGAAGCGAAAGCGUGGGGAGCAAACAGG